rnacentral:rRNA from 1 species
AGAGUUUGAUCAUGGCUCAGAUUGAACGCUGGCGGCAUGCCUUACACAUGCAAGUCGAACGGCAGCAUGAUCUAGCUUGCUAGAUUGAUGGCGAGUGGCGAACGGGUGAGUAAUACAUCGGAACGUGCCCUGUAGUGGGGGAUAACUAGUCGAAAGAUUAGCUAAUACCGCAUACGUCCUGAGGGUGAAAGUGGGGGACCGCAAGGCCUCAUGCUAUAGGAGCGGCCGAUGUCUGAUUAGCUAGUUGGUGAGGUAAAGGCUCACCAAGGCGACGAUCAGUAGCUGGUCUGAGAGGACGAUCAGCCACACUGGGACUGAGACACGGCCCAGACUCCUACGGGAGGCAGCAGUGGGGAAUUUUGGACAAUGGGCGAAAGCCUGAUCCAGCAAUGGCCGCGUGUGUGAAGAAGGCCUUCGGGUUGUAAAGCACUUUUGUCCGGAAAGAAAUGGCUCUGGUUAAUACCUGGGGUCGAUGACGGUACCGGAAGAAUAAGGACCGGCUAACUACGUGCCAGCAGCCGCGGUAAUACGUAGGGUCCAAGCGUUAAUCGGAAUUACUGGGCGUAAAGCGUGCGCAGGCGGUUGUGCAAGACCGAUGUGAAAUCCCCGAGCUUAACUUGGGAAUUGCAUUGGUGACUGCACGGCUAGAGUGUGUCAGAGGGGGGUAGAAUUCCACGUGUAGCAGUGAAAUGCGUAGAGAUGUGGAGGAAUACCGAUGGCGAAGGCAGCCCCCUGGGAUAACACUGACGCUCAUGCACGAAAGCGUGGGGAGCAAACAGGAUUAGAUACCCUGGUAGUCCACGCCCUAAACGAUGUCAACUAGUUGUUGGGGAUUCAUUUCCUUAGUAACGUAGCUAACGCGUGAAGUUGACCGC